GGGAGGUUUCCUUGGAGCCCGUGAGACGGGGCAGGAUGAAACGUGAACAGAAAGCGCUCCAGAUGCUCACCCGGCAAACGCAGCUUCUCAUCGCACGCUGAUUCAGUGAUUUUUUUUUCCUUUUUUUUUUCUUUUUUUUCUCUCUCUGAUGCUAAAGCCCCCAACAUUCUGUGGGGCUGGAAAACAGAGUCACAUAGAGAGGGAUUAAAAAGGCUUCACCAACCAAGUCGGUUCUACCCCACACCCAUCCGCCCACGGGCUCGAGGUGCCUGGCGGGUCUCCGUCACAGUCACCGUCACGGACACGGUCAAGGCAGACUUCUGUCUUGGCAGAGAUCGGCAGCAUGGAUGCCUGGGUGUGCCAGAGGAGUGUGCAGGCUGGAUGAGCCCAAUAAUAAAUGCUAACUGAGUGCAUCUCACUGGACCCAAGUUUGGAGCUGCCCUCCUUUUGCUGCCCACAGAGCCUGAUCCUGGUAGCAUCUGGUGCCAAGGAGAUGCUGAAAAUGAUUGUGGAACAAAAGCAUCUGUACCCAAGAGGAGCAACACCCCAAGCUUCAGAGAUGCCACAGGAUGCAGUCGACUUAACCAGCCCUGGUCUGAAAUCCAGGCCCUCCCAUUCCAGAGCAUCCCCCAGGUCCCCAGCAUCAGGGCUUUACGCUGGACUCCGGAGUGGGGUUUGAGGAGGUGCCAGAUCCUCCCAGGGAAGGCCCACCAGGGACACCCGGGUGCACUGCCUCCUCCCUGGAUGUUCCUCCCUUCUCGUCCCUGGCCCUCUCUGGUGUGUUUACUUGCCGCAGCCAGAAAGCCCACCUUGCACCCGCCCUCUCCGCGGUUCAGCUGCACCUCUCUCCUCCAAUAAACCGUUUGCGUUCCAUCUGGUGAGCGUUUGCUCCGAAGACGUUUCCCUGUCAAUCUCUCCCGCCACAUUAAAAAUCUGUCAUUACGACGGCA